CAGCCGCCGCGGGAAUACGGAGGGAGCUAGCGUUGUUCGGAAUUACUGGGCGUAAAGCGCACGUAGGCGGCUUUGUAAGUUAGAGGUGAAAGCCUGGAGCUCAACUCCAGAAUUGCCUUUAAGACUGCAUCGCUUGAAUCCAGGAGAGGUGAGUGGAAUUCCGAGUGUAGAGGUGAAAUUCGUAGAUAUUCGGAAGAACACCAGUGGCGAAGGCGACACACUGGCUCAUUACUGACGCUGAGGCUCGAAAGCGUGGGGAGCAAACAGGAUUAGAUACCCCAGUAGUCCCUGUCUCUUAUAC
rnacentral:rRNA from 1 species